GCGCCGCCGCCCGGGAGCACGGGCUCCCCUGAGGGAGCUCGGGGCGUCCCAGCCCCGGAGGAGGGACCCGGAAGCAGAAGCGGAGCCGCGAGUCGAGCCGAGCCGCUGCCCCCGCUGCCCGCCGGCGCCGGGUGGGGGUCCCGGCGGCUGGAUGGGCGGCGGCGGCUUCGGCCGCGGGCGGCGAUGGGCGAGGAGCAGAGCACGGUGAGCGGCAGCGGCGGGCCCCUGGAGGCGCGGACCCCCCCUGGCGGCGCCACGGGCCACCCCGAGCCCCCGAGGCCGCCGGGGGACAGCACCGGGGCGCCCGGGCCGCGCGCCUCCUCCGCCGAGCCGAGCGGCGACAGCUGCGGAAGCGACUCGGGCUGCGCGGAGACGAGCGUCCCGGAGCCCGCGAGGAGCCGGGGGGCCCCGAGCUGGAAGAAGAACCAGGCACCCGCGCAGCCCGCAGGACUGGCCUACACCGGGCCCCUCAACCCCCAGGCUUUGCAACAGCAGCUGGCAAAGGAGGAGGAGGAAGCGGGGGACCGAAACGAGAGAGGGGAUGAACAGCAGGAGGCGCCCCCCGGCGAGCAGCCGGAGCCCCGGACCCGUGUCGGGGCCCCAGACGGACUGGUCCUGGACGUGCUGGGCCAGCGGCGCCCGCCCCCCGCCAAGAGACAAGUCUUCUGCUCCGUGUUCUGCGUGGAGAACGACCUGCCCGAGGUCCCCUCGGCGGAGCGGCUCUCGCUGCCCGCGUCGCCACCCCGGGCUCCGCCGGUGACCAACCCUCCCAGCACCCCCUCCUCCUUCCCCAGUCCCCGGCUGUCGCUCCCAGCGGACCCCCUGUCCCCCGACGGCGGCAGCAUCGAGCUGGAGUUCUACCUGGCGCCCGAGCCGUUCUCUGUGCCCAGCCUGCUGGGAGCUCCACCCUACUCUGGCCUGGGUGGGGUCGGGGAUCCCUAUGCGCCCCUCAUGGUGCUGAUGUGCCGGGUGUGCCUGGAAGACAAGCCCAUCAAGCCCUUGCCCUGCUGCAAGAAGGCCGUGUGCGAGGAGUGCCUCAAAGUCUACCUGAGCUCCCAGGUACAACUUGGCCAAGUGGAAAUCAAAUGCCCUAUCACAGAAUGUUUUGAAUUCUUGGAAGAAACAACGGUUAUCUAUAACUUAACGCAUGAAGACUCCAUCAAAUACAAGUAUUUCUUGGAACUUGGCCGUAUUGAUUCCAGCACCAAGCCAUGUCCUCAGUGCAAGCACUUUACAACCUUCAAGAAAAAAGGACAUAUUCCCACCCCUUCCAGAUCAGAAAGCAAAUACAAAAUCCAGUGCCCCACUUGCCAAUUCGUCUGGUGUUUUAAGUGCCACUCUCCUUGGCAUGAAGGUGUUAACUGCAAGGAGUACAAAAAAGGAGACAAAUUAUUGCGUCACUGGGCCAGCGAAAUUGAGCAUGGGCAGAGGAAUGCCCAGAAGUGUCCAAAGUGCAAGAUCCAUAUCCAGAGAACGGAAGGGUGUGACCAUAUGACCUGUUCACAAUGUAACACUAAUUUUUGUUAUCGAUGUGGGGAGAGAUACCGCCAGCUCCGUUUCUUUGGAGACCACACAUCAAACCUCAGUAUAUUUGGAUGCAAAUACCGCUACCUCCCAGAGAGACCUCAUCUAAGGAGACUAGUGCGAGGGUCAGUCUGUGUCUCAUAUACAAAUAUGCAAAGAUAAACACGGAUUCCUGCUCUGGCCUAAUGUCACCACCUUUGAGUGAUGCAGUGUUCUUCUGACCUGAUAGUUCUUCCAAUGGCUCCCUACUCCUCUGGAAUACACCUACUGAUGAACCUGACAAAGGAGAGAGCAGCUGGCCUUAUGAUAAGCUCUCCCUCCUACACAUAUUUUUGCACCUCCAGAACAGCUGCCUCGAACUGCUGUUGGACCAUCACUCCAAGUAUAGAAGGGAAAUGUGGACUUUUUUCCUGUGGACAAACAAGGAAAAAAUACAAUAAUUCAUGUUACCCAUUACAUUUUACAAAAUCAGACAGAAUGAUUUUAUAAGCGAUGUUUUUAAAUAAAAAGAGCAAUUUAAUUUCAAACAUCUCAUCCCUACAAAAGGCAGGAAAAGGAGUUACUCUGUAAGUCCCAAGCUUACCUUCUCCCUGCCAUGAAAGAGAGUAGAUGGAUGACAGCAAAGCCCUCCUGACCUCCAUCCUUGCAUGAUGGAACCCAGUUUGCGACCACAGCCUGCAGAUGUCCUUGGACAGAGAGAAAGGGCCUGCCCUCCUCUCACAGCUGGAGGUUGGAAAACAAGGAUGGUCAUGUGACCAUCUGCCCGCUACAGAUCAGAGGUUCUGCCUCUAGAGAAUAAGGGAGAACAGCUGUUUGAGGAUAAUGAGCAGCCUCUGACAUGCAGGUAUCUCCCUGGUAGGGAGUAGGUAGGUUAUUCAGUGAAUGGUGUUGGGAAUUAAAGUGACAGAAAGAAUGCUUUGUUCUCAUAUAAUUCCAUACAAAUAUUGAAAAUAUUACAUUAAAACAUAUAAUAGUAAAGAACAUACAGGUCCUUAACUGAUUUCUAGUUGGCAAAUAAUUUAUAUGAACAAAAGCAAUGGAGGCCCCCCUCCAAAAAUAAAUACCACAUUUUUCAAAAAGAAAAGAAGUCUGGAACCAGAAUUGAAGAAAUACAGAUAGCCAAUAAACAUGUUUUAAAAGAUUCAGUGUUAUUAGUAGUCAGAGAAAUGUAAAAAAUGAAAUUUUUUUCUGGAUAUUGAUUAGCAAAUAUUUUGUCAAGUUAAUACUCUAUGCUGGACAUCCAUACUCUAUUGAAUGAACUGGAAAUUUUGUGCAAUUCUUUUACAAAGAAAUUUGAUAGUAAUGUGAAGGAUAUUUUAAAACAUGUUAAGAAAUCUAGGUUGACAAUGGUUUAUUUGCAAGGAUAAUUUAAAAUAGCAGAAAAGGGAACAAAAAAUAAGUACUAAAAUAUUUAAAUAAGCUAGAGUAUAUGGAUAUAAUAGAAUACUAUUUCAGCUAUUGAGAAUGGUAUUUUAAAAGAAUUAUUAUUGAUUUAGGAAUAAGAGAAUCUGUGCUUAACUGUCCUCAAGACAGUUUCGAAGUUAGACUUAACGUGUAUUGAACAUUGAUUGCAUGAUUGUAAUAAGUUUAUUACUUCCCAAAGAGAGAGAGCACAUAUCUGGUUCUUUGAGUUCUGUGAUAUUUGGAAAAAAAAAAAUCGUGCUGUUACUUUGCAGUCAUGUUUCAUCACUAUUAUGAAAAUAUAUUGAUAAUUACUUAAAAAGGAAACAUGAAUGAGCACACUGAGCUACAUGUGUAGGAAAAAAACCAGAUUCUUUUACAAUAUGCAAAUCAAUAUAGUAUAAACUCAAGUGUAGCUUUAAGAAUGUACAGAAUGUAAUUGUUCAAUGCAAUUUAGUAUUACUUGAUUGAUUCUGUCAUUGGUGAAAAAUGUAAGUAAACCCCAUGGUUAGACAUUGUGUCAAUUGAAUGGCAGUUUUUUCAAAAUUAGAUAUUAAAAACUGUAUUUUUUAAUCUAUGUUUUUUCUGUGGUUUCAAAGCCCCUUUCUUAAGAAUAAAGAAGUUAAUAUUUUUCUGACAAAUUUCCAACAAAUGGCUGCAUUAUGUUUCUGUUUUUUAAUGUAAAUUGUUAAUCCAAAUUACUGUCCUUAUUUAUAGAAUGGUGUUGCUGCUUUAUUUUCAACAGCUAAGGGAGUCUACUGCAAAGUCCCUCCAUUCCUUCCUCUUCUCUUGUUGUGUUUGGGUUGUACAGCUAUUGCUGUGUCACAUGCCUUAAGAUCAAGAUUACUACGUAAUGACAAGAUAUUAAAUACUAGCCUCUAUUUUUGUGCUAGUGCCAUUUAACGCUAGUAGGAGUCCAGUUGUGAACUCUGUACUAUAACUAGAGUUUAUUGUAAUCACUGCUCAGUUAUUCAUUUAGAAAAAAAAAGUGCUGGUUGUUGCCAUUUGACAUCCUUAUAAGUGCUUCCUUUCUAAGUUUGUUAAAAUGAUUCAUUUGAAAAACCUUCAAUAUAUUGUAUGUUUAUUGGUAAUUUUCUCUAACAAUGGUAUUGAAACAUCCCAUUUGUAAUUCAGUGUACUAGGUGUUCACAUAGUUAGUUUAUUUUGGACCCAGGAAAUAAAUAAAUCACAUUUUCAGAUGUGGACUUGGGCACAGCCCUCUGUAGCACCUACUAGCUCUCCAUUUUGUGAGCUAAUUAGAUUUUCUCCUGCCAGCUCAGAAUGUGUCACUCCUUUCUUAAUCUUUCAGAAUUUUAAAAAUUUAAAAUGGAAGAGAUCUAAAGGAAAAACACAAAGAUGAAUGGUCCUGGUGGAAUAAAGUGAACCAGUAGCUUUGGAAUUUUCUUGAUUGUAAAGGAUGAUUUAUGCGAUGUAUGACACGUGUGCCCAGGACUUGAGUGAAGUUACUGAACUUACAUAUGUGUAUUUGUUCUACACCUGAUACAUUUCCUUAGAGAAAUAUUGCCUUAAUUUUAAUGACUCCUUAAAAAAUAACAUACAUUGUGAUAUUAAAAAGCAUUGCUGAAAUUGUUUUUAGUUUUAGUUUAAGACUCUCUAAAUGGUUUGCCUUUUG